GUGAACACGAGUCAAAAACUGACGAACACGAGUGAACACGAGUCAAAAAUGACGAACACGAGUGAACACGAGUCAAAAAUGACGAACACGAGUGAACACGAGUCAAAAAUGACGAACACGAGUGAACACGAGUCAAAAAUGACGAACACGAGUGAACACGAGUCAAAAAUGACGAACACGAGUGAACACGAGUCAAAAACUGACGAACACGAGUGAACACGAGUCAAAAACUGACGAACACGAGUCAAAAAUGACGAACACGAGUGAAAACGAGUCAAAAAUGACGAACACGAGUGAACACGAGUCAAAAACUGACGAACACGAGUCAAAAACGCAUUCUUAAAGAGGCUCCCUACAGUUUUAAGCCCGUGAUGAAGAUCUGUAUUGUGUAAUUGCACGCGGGUUUCUUGGCGGCCCACAGGAU